AGGGUUUGAUUAUGGCUCAGGAUGAACGCUGGCGGCGUGCCUAAUACAUGCAAGUAGAACGCUGAAGCUUGGUGCUUGCACCGAGCGGAUGAGUUGCGAACGGGUGAGUAACGCGUAGGUAACCUGCCUGGUAGCGGGGGAUAACUAUUGGAAACGAUAGCUAAUACCGCAUAACAGUCGACAUUGCAUGAUGUUGAUUUGAAAGGGGCAAUUGCUCCACUACCAGAUGGACCUGCGUUGUAUUAGCUAGUUGGUGAGGUAACGGCUCACCAAGGCGACGAUACAUAGCCGACCUGAGAGGGUGAUCGGCCACACUGGGACUGAGACACGGCCCAG
rnacentral:rRNA from 1 species